UGAGCAAUCUGCCCUUCUCAUCGGAAUAAGCGUUGGAAACGACGUCUAAUGCCGAAUACGACCUCCUUUCGCAUGAUCGGAGGUGGAAAGCUCCGGCGGAGAAGGAUGAGCUCGCGGCCUAUCAGCUAGUUGGUGUGGGUAACGGCCCACCAAGGCGACGACGGGUAGCCGGCCUGAGAGGGUGACCGGCCACACUGGGACUGAGACACGGCCCAGACUCCGUACGGGAGGNAGCG
rnacentral:rRNA from 1 species